ACUGCCUGAUGGAGGGGGAUAACUACUGCUAAACAGUAGCUAAUACCGCAUAACGUCGCAAGACCAAAGAGGGGGACCUUCGGGCCUCUUGCCAUCGGAUGUGCCCAGAUGGGAUUAGCUAGUAGGUGGGGUAACGGCUCACCUAGGCGACGAUCCCUAGSUGGUCUGAGAGGAUGACCAGCCACACUGGAACUGAGACACGGUCCAGACUCCUACGGGAGGCAGCAGUGGGGAAUAUUGCACAAUGGGCGCAAGCCUGAUGCACCCAUGCCGCGUGUAUGAAGAAGGCCUUCGGGUUGUAAAGUACUUUCAGCGGGGAGGAAGGCGAUAAGGUUAAUAACCUUGUCGAUUGACGUUACCCGCAGAAGAAGCACCGGCUAACUCCGUGCCAGCAGCCGCGAGUAAUACGGAGGGUGCAAGCGUUAAUCGGUAAUUACUGGGCGUAAAGCGCACGCAGGCGGUCUGUCAAGUCGGAUGUGAAAUCCCCGGGCUCAACCUGGGAACUGCAUUCGAAACUGGCAGGCU
rnacentral:rRNA from 1 species